GAUGAACGCUGGCGGCGUGCCUAAUACAUGCAAGUCGAGCGAACGGACGAGAAGCUUGCUUCUCUGAUGUUAGCGGCGGACGGGUGAGUAACACGUGGAUAACCUACCUAUAAGACUGGGAUAACUUCGGGAAACCGGAGCUAAUACCGGAUAAUAUUUUGAACCGCAUGGUUCAAAAGUGAAAGACGGUCUUGCUGGCACUUAUAGAUGGAUCCGCGCUGCAUUAGCUAGUUGGUAAGGUAACGGCUUACCAAGGCAACGAUGCAUAGCCGACCUGAGAGGGUGAUCGGCCACACUGGAACUGAGACACGGUCCAGACUCCUACGGGAGGCAGCAGUAGCGAAUCUUCCGCAAUGGGCGAAAGCCUGACGGAGCAACGCCGAGUGAGUGAUGAAGGUCUUCGGAUCGUAAAACUCUGUUAUUAGGGAAGAACAUAUGUGUAAGUAACUGUGCACAUCUUGACGGUACCUAAUCAGAAAGCCACGGCUAACUACGUG
rnacentral:rRNA from 1 species